UAUCAAUAGACCAUAGUUAAAUUUUGAUUACAUUUACUAUUUUGUAAGAAGACAAUGAAAACCCUUAUCCCAAUGACCCAAACUGAGACAGCAGCAUGGGGCCAUGACUCACCUUGGGAUCUCUCCUGCCACCACCGCCAGAGGAGGGGUCUCGGCCCCACGCAGCCUGGCCUGGCCUUCGGCUUCCACCCUAUAAGGGAGACCCAAGAGACAAGGUGACACCCACAGUGAGACGCCAUCGACUGGGCUCCUCGGGCGGUCGGCGCUGCCCCGUUGGGCUCGAGGAUGGAAAGGCAGGAAGAGAAAGGCCCGUGGAGUCAGGCAUUCCUCCCCGCACGGCCACUGGGCAACCCAAGGGGCCCGCCCCACCCAACGAGGCCUCGCCAUCCCUCGGGGGGCCUCUAGGACCCGUCCCCUGGCUUUCGGUCUCUCUGGGCCGCGGAGGACCAGCUGGGCCCCUGUGCAGGACGUCCAAGAGACCUUCCUAGCCAGAGCUGUCCCAUCCCUGGGACGCCAGAGCCCUUCUGGACUGCUGGCCUCGCCCGCAUCUGCCGCCCACCCUCCACCAGCCCCUCGCACUGCCCUGCCCAGCCCAGCCCCGACAAGCCCUGGGAUGCUGCUCACACUGGUCCCCUGGCUCCAAAGACAACGCUGCCAUCCUCGCCUGCUCAUCCAGGAAGGAGCCGGCCUUCGGGUCCGGCGGCUGCACACUGAGGAGUACAAAGCCAAGAGGAGGAGACCCAAUGGCACAGCCAUUCUCCAGGCUCGCGGCUUCCACACACACACCUGGCCAUAGCCUGGCAUGCGGCAUACCAUGAGGGUCACCAAGGACCUGGCAAAUGCCUUCACUCCCUUUCUCUCUAGAUUCAGUUCUCUGAUACUGCCGGACGGGUGCUCACAUUUUCCCAUUGGGCUAACACCAGGAAAACGCUGGAAUGCCCGUGCUCUGUCAGUCACCCUCGUCGUUUCCUGACCUCGGCCUAUUGGGUCACUGCUUUGUGGACAUUGAACCAGAUUCUUUCUUCAGUGGACCUCGGAGUUUCAGACAGGUUUUCAUCGUACAGGACGCAUAUGCCACCAGGAGUCAUCUUCAAUCCAAUACUGUCCCUCCUGUGUUCCCUUAGCUUGACCUUCUUUGUUGAUCAAUUUAUUAAAGGGCUGGGUAAGAUAUCAAUACCCUACCUGAACUUCCAGGGGUCCGUGGGAUGGGAAGCGUCUCAUGAUACCUGUCACCAUGGACUGUGCAAUUUGGUCUUGCCUUUACUCCCUCUCCCUUUCGUUUCCUUUUCU
rnacentral:lncRNA from 1 species